rnacentral:piRNA from 1 species
UCCUUCUCUUUCCUUGUGGAGUCUACUAAGA